UGAGUUGAUUGACCUUAAUCGACUACUAGAGCAUAGUCAAUUAAAGUAAUCGACUAUUGAAAAUGUACAUAGUCGAUUAAAGAUCCAGCCUGCGCGGAUUUCUCUACCCGCGCCAUUAUCCAUCCGAUUUUCCAAAAAAACCUAAAUCUACCUCCCCAUCGUCUUCACACUGCCGCCACACCACAUUUUCUCAACCACAGUGGGAGUUCGAUCUCCCAGUAUCCCAGUUUCAAGAA
rnacentral:lncRNA from 1 species